AAUGAACGUUGGCGGCGUGGAUUAGGCAUGCAAGUCGUGCGGAAAGGCUCCUUCGGGAGUACUCGAGCGGCGAAAGGGAGAGUAACGCGUGGAUAUCUACCCCCUGACUGGGACAGCGGCGGGAAACUGCCGGUAAUACCAGAUAAUGUCUGCGGCCCAAAGGUGUGAUUCCGCCGGGGGAUGAGUCCGCGUCCUAUUAGCUAGUUGGUGGGGUAACGGCCUACCAAGGCAAAGAUGGGUACCGGGUGUGAGAGCAUGGCCCGGCUCACUGGGACUGAGACACUGCCCAGACACCUACGGGUGGCUGCAGUCGAGGAUCUUCGGCAAUGGGCGAAAGCCUGACCGAGCGACGCCGCGUGCGGGAUGAAGGCCUUCGGGUUGUAAACCGCUGUCAGAGGGGAGGAAAUGCAUGAGGGUUCUCUCUCAUGUUUGACCUAUCCUCAGAGGAAGUACGGGCUAAGUUCGUGCCAGCAGCCGCAGUAAAAC
rnacentral:rRNA from 1 species